GAUGAACGCUGGCGGCGUGCCUAAUACAUGCAAGUCGAGCGAACGGACGAGAAGCUUGCUUCUCUGAUGUUAGCGGCGGACGGGUGAGUAACACGUGGAUAACCUACCUAUAAGACUGGGAUAACUUCGGGAAACCGGAGCUAAUACCGGAUAAUAUUUUGAACCGCAUGGUUCAAAAGUGAAAGACGGUCUUGCUGUCACUUAUAGAUGGAUCCGCGCUGCAUUAGCUAGUUGGUAAGGUAACGGCUUACCAAGGCAACGAUGCAUAGCCGACCUGAGAGGGUGAUCGGCCACACUGGAACUGAGACACGGUCCAGACUCCUACGGGAGGCAGCAGUAGGGAAUCUUCCGGAAUGGGCGAAAGCCUGGCCGGGCAACGCCGCGGGAGUGAUGGAGGGCCUCGGAUCGGAAAACUCUGUUAUUAGGGAAGAACAAAUGUGUAAGGAACUGUUCCCAUCUUGACGGUACCUAAACAGAAAGCCACGGCUAACUACGUG
rnacentral:rRNA from 1 species